rnacentral:rRNA from 2 species
GGAUGCGAUCAUUCCAGCUCUAAAGCCCCGGAUUCCAUUAGAAAUUCGAAGUUAAACGUGGUUCGGCGAGAGUUGUAUUUGGAUGGGUGACCUUCCGGGAAGUCCUGGUGCUGCAUUCC